GACGAACGCUGGCGGCGUGCUUAACACAUGCAAGUCGAACGAAGUGGCGAACGGGUGAGUAACGCGUAAUCAACCUGCCCUUCGAAGGGGGACAACAGUUGGAAACGACGGCUAAUACCGCAUACUGAAGGAGGGGAUGGCGGCGGAUUAGCUAGUUGGGGGGGUAACGGCCCCCCAAGGCGAUGAUCAGUAGCCGGGAUGAGAGGAUGACCGGCCAAAUUGGGACUGAGACACGGCCCAGACUCCCACGGGAGGCAGCAGUGGGGAAUCUUCCGACAUGGACGAAAGGCUGACGGAGCAACGCCGCGUGAGUGAUGACGGCCUUCGGGUUGUAAAGCUCUGUUAAUCGGGACGCGGUACCGGAAUAGAAAGCCACGGCUAACUACGUGCCAGCAGCCGCGGUAAUUC
rnacentral:rRNA from 1 species